rnacentral:lncRNA from 1 species
UAAAAGAGAAAAAAAAUACCAUUAUUGUGUGCAUGCCUAAUUACAACAUCGAAUUUAAACAAAUAUAAUUUUAUACCAAUUACAUUGUACAACAAAUUAUUUAUAUUGUACACCGAAUCAAAGAAUUAAGAAUUUAAUAUAAUUAAUAUGCAAGAAGGGGCUGUGUCUCUUUUACGACUAUUAUUCGAUAUUUUAUAAACUUAAAUAAUUUCAAUAUUAUUAGGUUCUAUUUCAAAAUGCUGAUAAUUUAAUAUGGUUGAUAAAGGAGUUUAUUAAAAAAAUUAAUUAGUAUAUCAUUAUUCAUACUAAACAAAGUAUUACUUGUGAUUUUCUAAUAUAACUUAAAUAAAUAUUAACUUUGUGCUUGUAUCUAUUUACAUUGAUCGCUAAUUGUAUUCAAUUUGAAUAUGCAUAAUUAAUGGUCUAAUGUUAUUUUGAUAACUUAAUAAUUACUAUCAUAAAUCUAAUUAAGCACUAAUAUUUUUUAAAAUUAAUAUAACUGAAAUAGGAGAAUAUAGCAAACUAAGAAUAUCAAAUAGUACAAAAGAAGCUUUAAAGAAAAAGGUAAAUUAGAAUACCUUCAUUUUAUUUAAAUAGUUUAUUGUUUCUAUGUUACUUAUUAUAAAUUAAGUAUUUAUAAUAUUAUUCCUUUUGGUUUUUGGUAGUUGUUUUUAUUACUUAUAUUCGUUAGCACUCACAUUUUUUGCAUUUAAUGUAUUACGUGUCUUAUUAAAAAUUAAAAGAAAGUAAAAAUCUAUAGUAUAACAACAAGUAAAGAAACGACAAAGGCCCAAAGCAAAAAUCCCUAAAACCUAAACUACACUCUGACCUCCUUUCUCUCCCGCUGCCACCUCCCCUUCCCCACUUUUCUAUUUCAUUCUUUAACCAAGGCUAAAUUAAGAAGAUCGAGAAUGACAAAGAAGAGCGAGAGAGAACCCAAUCGCUUCUCUAUUCUCGGGCAGUCGGGCAGAAGAGGUAAGCUCAUAUCUCUAUAUUUUAGGGCUUGUAAAUCUUUUUAUACCUACUUCACUUGGAUUUUUGGGUACAAUUUUGCGGACUAUUCCAGCAAUUUGAUAGAUAUUGUAUCUUAUUUUUGAUAAGUAGUGAUUGAUAAUUUGAACAGAAGCAAUAUUUCAAAAUUCGGAUGAAGAUAAUUUAAGUUGUUUAAAAAGUGUUCAAAUUUUUUUUUUUAACUUCUUUUGUUGCUUUGUAUAUUUUUCUUUUGUUAUCUAUUAGAAAUUCUUGUAAAAUCAAUACAUAUUUUUUGUCUGCUUGAAAUUCUAUCAAUAUUUUUACUAAUUGAACUUUCAACUCAGUUGUACUUGUUAAAAACAUAUAUGAUCAAUUAUUUUUGCUUCGUGGUGUUAAAAAUAUUUUUUCAUGUAGAUUGGUGGAGUUAGAGCAAUGACAAGUUAAAACCAAGAUAAGGUGCAGUUAAAGACCCGAGGAGGAAUGAAAGAAGAAGACGGUGUCCUAGAAAAAUUGUGCAUCGUGAAUGCUUCGAAAUUUACAAUUAUGUGUAACUUGAAACCUAUUGUGGAAUAUAAAUUCUUUUUAUCCUUAGCUACGUUAUUAAAAGCUUAUGUGUAACUUUGAAUUUGUUUUGGAAUCUAAAAUAUUUGGAAUUUUAGCUAUUAUGAAAAUUAUUUUGACUAGUUAUUCUUGUAGCAAAUUCUUUAAUUUGUGGCAAUAAAAGUUUGAAUUCGUGGCUAUA